rnacentral:tRNA from 2 species
GCGGGAGUAGCUCAGUUGGUAGAGCGUCAGCCUUCCAAGCUGAGGGUCGCGAGUUCGAGUCUCGUCUCCCGCUCUA